rnacentral:rRNA from 1 species
GGAUGCGAUCAUACCAGCACUAAAGCACCGGAUCCCAUCAGAACUCCGAAGUUAAGCGUGCUUGGGCGAGAGUAGUAGUAGGAUGGGUGACCUCCUGGGAAGUCCUCGUGUUGCAUCCCUC